rnacentral:lncRNA from 1 species
AGUAGCUGUGGACUGGCCAGAGUGAUUGGAGGUGUUUUCCUCGCGUCCUCCAAGUCUACGGGGCCUUCGCACCUCUGAGUGCCUGAGAGCCCCGGCUUUUGCUUGGGACGGAGGUACGGGACCACAAGAGGCCCCGGGGUCGCAGGUUAUAAACGGAUGAGACCGCCCUGGGCGGCCCGUGGUCCGACUGCUCUUGGGUCGGUCCCCAGCCGUCGCGACACACACGCACAAAAUCGAGAAUAAAAACCGAAUCACACAUAGCAGGAUGGCGCAAAAAAGAAAUGCGUUUGAGUUACUCAUGUGUUUUUAAAAUUCCUUUACGUUUGUAUGCACUAAGGCCA